AAUGAUUUGGCAGAUUAGUGCUCUAAAUUUAGAAUUUGGUUAAGUAUAUAAAAUAUUAUACAUUCAUUA
rnacentral:tRNA from 1 species